GCUUGGACGCUAACAACGGUCUAUGGGCCACAUGACUAUGAGCGCAAGCAAGCCUUUUUGAAUGAGAUUGCUGACAUUCACAACUCGAUGGCUGGGCCGUGGCUAAUCAUCGGCGACUUUAACCUGAUCACGGACCCAUGUGACAAAAACAAUGAUAGAAUUUGCCGCCGCUGGAUGAAUAAGUUUCGCCGCACUCUGAAUAGCUCUAGCUUUCGCGAGCUUCCUCUCAUUGAUAGAAGGUUUACAUGGAGUAACGAGCAAGACUCGCCCACACUAGUUAGGCUUGAUCGUGCCUUUUGCAAUGUUGCCUGGGAACUGAUGUUCCCGGCUGCGAAACUUCUCCUGCAAGCCUCGUCCAUCUCGGACCACUGCCCGCUUCUCCUCCGCAGCGAGGUGAUAAUCAAAACUAACCGAAGAUUCAGAUUCGAAGCAUACUGGCAGAACAUUCAGGGUUUCCAUGAGGUGGUGUAG
rnacentral:rRNA from 1 species